GAGGUAGGAGUCGACUCCUGUGAGGUAUGGUGCUGGGUGCAGAUGCAGUGUGGCUCUGGAUAGCACCUUAUGGACAGUUGUGUCCCCAAGGAAGGAUGAGAAUAGCUACUGAAGUCCUAAAGAGCAAGCCUAACUCAAGCCAUUGGCACACAGGUAUGGAGAGUCGGCUUGACUACACUGUGUGGAGCAAGUUUUAAAGAAGCAAAGGACUCAGAAUUCAUGAUUGAAGAAAUGCAGGCAGACCUGUUAUCCUAAACUAGGGUUUUUAAUGACCACAACAAGCAAGCAUGCAGCUUACUGCUUGAAAGGGUCUUGCCUCACCCAAGCUAGAGUGCAGUGGCCUUUGAAGCUUACUACAGCCUCAAACUUCUGGGCUCAAGUGAUCCUCAGCCUCCCAGUGGUCUUUGUAGACUGCCUGAUGGAGUCUCAUGGCACAAGAAGAUUAAAACAGUGUCUCCAAUUUUAAUAAAUUUUUGCAAUCCA
rnacentral:lncRNA from 1 species